CUUUUUUUUUUUUUUUUUUUUUUACAUAAAUAUGGUCUUUAUUGGCAAAGAAAAGAGAAAUUACAUAGAUCGUGUGACUAACCUACCCUGAGACCGUACAGACUCUCACAUACGGAGUUGACAACCUAUCUAACUGCAAAAGAGCCCGAACUUUAGAAGGGAGAGCUCUUUCACUGAAAAAUCGGGCAUCCGUUCGUAGGUCCGAGGAGGCCAAAGCGUCGGCGACCGCAUUAGCCUCUCUGAACGUGUGAACCAGAGACACCCCCAAUUUUGCCACCAAGCACCGAAUAUGCCUAAUUGUGUUGCAUAACGGCCAGCCAGCCGUCAUCUUAACGGACACGAGAUGCACUAAAGUACUAGAAUCCACUUCUGCUAUGACUCCCGUGAGAUUGUUGUCCUGGCAAUACCGAAGACCCUCCAGCAAAGCCAACGCCUCUGAGGAGAGAACGUCUUGCUCUCCAAACUCCUUAUAAAAGGCAAACACUAAAUUACCCUCACCCGAGCGCACCACCCCUCCACCACUUGACCGCCCGCUUACCACACUAGCAUCAGUGUUGAGUUUCACCGCUUGCCCUGUAGGUUUUACCCAAGAAAAGGCUCGAAGCUGUAUCAAUUUGUUCUUGGCCUUACCGAAUUUCACCCAGUCGCAAUCUGUGUCCCCUUUGAAGAACUCCAACUUGAACAGGCCCCCCCUACCCAACUGCUCAACCAAUGCGCACACCUGGUUGGUUACCUGAUCUGACGACAUACUCAUCCCCUCAAAGCGGGCCUUGUUACGGCCCUUCCAAAUAAACCACAAGAUCAAGAGCGGGAGGAUGACACGAAUAUGAUUCUGUGAGACAAACCGGUGAGAAAAGAGCCAACAUGAAAGCCUCGAUGCCACCCCACUCCCCUGGAGUACCAGCCCAAAGCGGCAGGAGAAGUGCCGCCAAACCCUGCUCGCUAAAGGGCCCGAGACAAAAAGAUGGUCUCCUGUUUCUGGCGCUAGGCCACAACAGUAGCACUUUGACGCUAACCUCAACCCUCUACCUUGAAGGAGAUCAUCCAAGGGGAGCCAACCACGCAACAACCUCCACACAAAGAAGGAUACCUUCAGAGGGACCACCGAGCUCCAGACCAGCGAAUCAAUAACAGAUCGAUUACGCUUUGACCGAAGAACGUCCCAAGCUGAAGACACAGUAAAGCUCCCCGAAGGUGACGCCGCCCAAAUCAUUUGGUCUUGCAUAUUGGGAAAAAUACGCAGCUCCAAGAUCUUCGACACUAAGUGCCCCGGAAGCAGCCUUCUGAGCCACUGCUCAUCCCAACCAUCAGAAAGAAAAAAUUCCCCUACCAACCUGUGAGACUUAGGGCCUGGCACCAACCUGGCGAGCGGAACAUCAGUACACCACCUAUCCUGCCAAAAGUCAACUAAGCCCUCCCCCAGACACCACCGGAUAUUCCCCUCCGUGAGGUCCCUCACCUCUAUCAAACGGCGCCAAAUUGGGGACGGGCGGUCAACUGAAACUAGAAGAGGAUGCCCCCCUCUGACAUACUUAACGUGCAUGAACUCUGCCCAAAUGGAUGCCCGUUCCCUCAACUUCCACCAAAGCUUACAUGAGAAAGCCUUAGCGACAUCCUCAAAUGGGCGAAACCCCAGGCCCCCUUCCUCGACCGGACGGCACACCUUAUCCCAAGCCGCCCAGUGGAUCCGUUUGCUUUCAAUAGAGGUAUCCCACAAGAAAGCAUUGCACAGACGGCCUAACUGCAGCAGCACAGCCUUCGGCGGUUGGAGUACCUGGAGUAAGUAGACCGGAAGGGAACACAGGACACUUCGUAAAAGGACAAUCUUCCCCCCCAUAGAUAGCAUCUUUGAGCUCCAAUGGAAUAACUUUUGGCGAACCUUGCCCAGCAACGCAUCAAACACUGCACAUGUGACCCUACCGCGAAUCAUCGGCACCCCUAGAUACCUGAACGGAAAAACCUGGCACUGGUACCCCAGGGUCGUGCUUACCAGGGCCCGCUGGGUGUCUGUAGCCCUAGCCGAAGCGUAAAAAGCACUCUUAGCAAUAUUCACCUUCUGACCAGAACAACUUUGGUAGAGCUGCAAAAAAUCCUUAAUGGACACCAACGCAUCCUGCGAGCACCGAGUAAAGAUGACCAUAUCAUCCGCAAAGGCUAAAUACGGCACUUUCGACCCAGCAGAAACGAAGUAUCUACUGUCCUUGGAAUCAAAAAUCCUUUGCAGCCCUCUCCCAAGAAAAUCCGCCACGAAUAAGAAAAGCGCAGGAGAAAGAGGGUCACCCUGUCGCACCCCUUGAAAUGACUUCACAAAACCCGUUGGUUCCCCAUUAACUAGGAUCGAGAACCAAGUGUUAGAAAACGUUCGAAAGAGCAAAUCCACUACUACCUCUUCAAACCCAUACUGCCUAAGCAGAAAAAGUAGAAAGGACCAAUCAACCCGAUCAUAUGCCUUCUCCAUGUCCAGCUUCAAGAUCAAAUUCGGGUCAAUCAACCUCCUAUCCAAGUCUAAAAUCAGCUCCUGUGCCAAAAGAACAUUGUCCACUAUCCCACGCCCCGGAACAAAACCUGUUUGCCAUGGUGAAAUGAGCUUCGGGAGGAGCUUGCUGAUCCUGAUGGCCAAUAUCUUAGACACAACCUUAGAGGUUACAUUACAAAGACUAAUAGGCCGAAAAUCCCGCCAGUGGGAUGCACCCUCCACUUUUGGGAUGAGCACCACCAUAGAGUGGGACCAGCUCCUGGGUUGCUCCAUACCCUGGAAGAAGUCCUGGAUAGCCAUAAGCAAGUCAUCCUUGACAAUGUCCCAGCAGCUUUGGAAAAAACCUGCUCCAAACCCAUCCGGACCCGGAGCACUCUGUAUCUCCAUUCCAAACACUACCUCAUGGAUUUCCUCCAUCGUAGGAAGACGUUUCAUAAUCUCAUUAUCCUCCUGGGUGGCUCUAGGAACCUCAAAAGGAAGCUCAGUGAGGGCCUGUACCUGACGGUUGGAUGCGAACAAGUCCGAAAAAAAGGAUAUCGCUGAGUCCUUAAUCUCCUGCAGGUCUUCAUGCCAUCCCCCCUCCUCUUUCCUAAUACGGGAAAUGAAAUUCGAGUUCCGACGCUGGCGGACCCAAGAAUGAAAAAAUGCAGUAUUAGCAUCCCCCGCCUGUAACCAUUUAAUACCUGCCUUCUGAUGCCAAAACUCACACUCCAUGGAAAGGGCCCGAUUGUAUCUCGCUCUGGCCUCAUGAAGAUGAAUCUUCGACUCCUCACUUCUAACCAAAUCGUACUCCACCUCCCUCUGUUUUACCUCCUGAUCCGCCUCUGCCACCUGAGAAGAGACAUUGCCAAAGACCACACGGUUCCAUUGCUUCAAUGCAUCUCGCACCGUUUUGAGCUUGUUGUAGAAUCUAACCAUCCCCAUGCCAUAGACCUCCUUACUCCAUGCGGCGAACACUAUCUCCCGGAACUGGGGGUGCCCGCGCCAAACAUUAAGAAACCGAAAGCAAGACGAUGUAGCCCUAUAGCCUGCACAUCGAAUCAACAACGGACUGUAAUCCGAUCUCCCUCUGGCCAUAUGGGAAACCCUAGAAAGCGGAUAGACCUCGGACCACCGCCUAUUCCCCAACGCCCGAUCCAAGCGCUGCCAGACUGACCCAUUAGUCCAUGUGAAUCGAGACCCAUCAAAAUCAAUUGUAGAUAGCCCGCAUUUGAACAUGGAAGCAUUAAAUUCUUCUAUGUUCCGAACAUUAGCUGGAGCCCCCCCUUCACGCUCCGCUGCCGAAGCUAUGACAUUAAAGUCGCCUGCUGCUACCCAGGGUUGAUUGUGUGAGACCGAGGAAGCCACACUUUCCAUUGCCUCCCAGAGUGGCCUCCGCCCAACCCUCGUGCACUUGGCAUAUAUCGCAGACACCCAAAAGGAUGCCCCAGAGCCAAAGGAAACGUGAGCAUGAAGCAUUUGCUCAGCGUACUCGACACAGCUAAAUCGUAAGAGGCACGACCAAAACACCCAUAUUUUACCACCAAUAUAAAGAGCUGAGAAAUCAAAAUUUAAAAACCUCCGAACCACCUCCAACUGACACUCCGCAGACAUUGGUUCUAAUAGAAAUAAUAACCUAACCUUGUUAUCGUAGCACAGCUUCUUCAGAUAGCGCAAAGAGUCCCUUCGGGAAGCCCAUCUGAUAUUCCAAACUAGCAUAUUAAUCGGAUCUAACAUGAGACCGCAAUGAGUAUGAAGCUUGCGCCAAGGGUACACACAUGCCCCCCUUUCUUGGUCUCCCCCGUUUCCGUCUUAGAACCGUGGCGGCAUCAUCCUCCUCCAAGUCAUUACAUAAAUCCCCUUCAAGAAGAGUUAAAGAGUCCAAAACAGUGUCAACACCCUGGACUGGUUGCGCCUUAGCAUUGAAAUCCCGUUGAAACGCCUUCAAUUCUUCAAGCGAGACUGAGACAGCUCUCACGCUAUCCACUGAACGCCCUCGGUGAUGGCAGUCCCGUUUCCAACCUCUCGACGCUGACCGUACAGGGCUCCUGUCUCGCUGCUCCUCAUCUGCGGAUUCACCUUCCAACUCUCCUAGAGCAGCGAAAGAAUUUGUCACGCGUAUGCUUCCCUCCUCUUCGGCGCCUAUACGAGACCCGCCCUGCAGCUCAAUCCACAGGUGACCAGCACUCCUGUGGCCGCACUUGUCAUUCCCCAUUCCUUCCGACUGAAUAACUAGCCUGCCCUCCUUCCCCUUAUCCCCAUUACUCCCCAGACCCAAAGUCUGUACCAUCUUAUUGUCAUCUGCAACAGGCUCCAGAGACGCUGCACUCACUGCCGCAUCAGUCUGUUCCAAUGCUCCUUCCGACUGGAGCAGCGCACAACCAGUACCAGCAGCCAGUCCUUGUUCACCGACAGCAGCCGCCUGCACACUCUCCCGCGACACCUGGUCCUGGCCAGGUGCCACCGCCAACUCCUUCCCAUUCACCACUUUCGGAACGUACACUUGCCGAUGUUUCAGUGUUUUUGCCUGGGCAGCGCGAGGCUGCGGAUCCGGGCGCAAGGAAGGAUUUCUAUGAAAACACUGCUCCUCUGUAUGGCCGAAUCUGCUGCAGAACCCACAGUAGUCUGGCCACCCCUCCAUCUCAACAGGCUGCCAGAAACCGAAGUGAUCAUCACCUAUCCAAAUACGACGCACAGGGGUCGACACUACGUUUACCUCCACCAAUACUCUGGCAACGGACGGACGGCGCAAAUCACACGUUGAUGCGUCAAUCUUGAGGGGCCUGCCCAACGUAGAAGCGAGCUUGAUUAACUGGGAUCUCUGGAAAAAAGGAAUCGGCAAUUCUGGGAAGCAAACCCAGAUUGGAGCUAUGGCUAACUCCUGAUCUGCCUUAAAUUCCAACGACCACUUGGAAAUCGACAUUGGCGAGCUGCUAACAUACCAAAUCCUCCGCGCAAAGAGACGGGUGUAGUCUUCCUCCAGAACGGGACGAAUGAGAACGUGUUUCUGGUCGAGGAGGCCAACCUUACAGUCCCCUCUGAGACCCAGCGACAGAAAGAACUUUCUGAUGACUUCCAUGGGUGGUCUGUUGAAGGAGAAACGCCCCACCAACGAAUUCUGAAACGGUUCCGAAAGCUGCUCAAUUUCCCUACGAGAGAUACGCAAAGCAGGUUCUCCUCUGAAGGUAGAGACCUCCCCUAAAGCUAUGGCAUCAGGUUUAUCCGAAGCGCCUGCCAGAACCGAAGCAAAGGACCUCUGAACCGGAGACUGACUGGCCUGUGUGUGUGACGGCCCACAGGCCGCCAUGUCCGGUAAGAAGAUCUAGCCGCACCCUCAACCCUAGCCGCACCCUCAAACCGUCAAAAGUCGGUAUAUUCUAUAUUUUGGGAACUUAGUUGUUUAUUUUCCCAUAAUUAAAAAUUUAAAAUAUGACAAAUUAUUCUUACAUAUUUUAUAAGGUCAUAUGCAAAAAAAAAAAAUUUUCAUAGUAUAUUUAAAAUGCUUCAAACAUAUAACAUUUAUAAAUGAUAUGUACAAUUGUAAGUUUCUUUAAGUAAAAUAGUAAAUUUAUGCCACAAACUAUUAAGUUUUGAUGAUUAACCAAAUUUACUAAUCUAUCAACAAUAUUUACUAUUAAUCUAUAAAAACUUACUAUUACUUGAACUAAACUUACCCUCCAAAAACUAAGUUUCAGAUAUAGAGUAAUAUUUUAUUUCAUAAAAAACAAAGUUAGUUCCAUAUUUAUUCAAAUUUACUUUUUGAGACAUAAAAGUUACUAAUAUAUUGAGUUAACUUACUAUUCUUUAUGCAAAACUUACUAACCACCAUUUUAGGUACUAUUUCAUUUAGAUGACCAGUAUAACAGGUCAUCAAAUGGUCGCUAAAAGUAUUUUUACCUGUUAUAUCAGGUAAAAAUAAUUUCGUUACCAUAACUAUCGUUACUUCAGACUUUUCCUUCAUUUAUACGAAUUUUCCUAGUUAGUAAAGGCUUCUAUUACACUUGUACAAUACACAUUUAAAAGUAUAACACAAUAAAAGCUUGUGUAGUUCAUAUAUUUCAAAAAUAUUCAUACUUUCAACUAAACUAUAAAAAUACGUAAUAUAUUCUUGAUACAUUAUACUUUACGAACUAUACUUUAAAUUUUAAAAAUAUUUAAUACUAUCACUUAUUAAUAACUCCACAUGUUAGUUUGUCUCCCAAUUCAAUAAAUUAUAGUAGCUAAUUCUCAAAGCUAUUCGACACCAAAAUUCCCUUACUCGUUCACCUCCUAGUGGAUUAUUAUUAAUUACAUUGCAUUUAUUUCCUAAGCAUGAGUUUUGUAACCCCUCAUAUUAAAUCUCAAUGAUUAAUUUUAACGGUUACCAAGGCGUCUAGUAAUUGGUUUGCUAUUUUAAUUUGAACUAGACAUUUAUUAGGUCUAGUAGAAUUUAUUCCUUCUUAUCACUUAGUUCGUAAACCUUAUGAAUCGUUAAAACCAGCUCUAACAUUAGGUAACAAGACUUCUACAAUUUCGGGUUUUGCUUAGAAAUCAGUCUGAUAGUUUAACUUGCUUCGUCCAACUUUAUGAGUUGCUUUUUUUUUUUUUCCAUAUUUGGCAUUUCAUCUGACUUUAAUACGGGGACCAAGUUAGUAUUGUUGGCAUUUCAUAUCUAAGACUUCUUAAUUAAUUGAUUUGUUAUAAGAACUAUAACGUAUGCGUGUUUUGUGAGCUUUCAUGUUUUUUUUUUUUUUUAAUUCUUGUGGACCAGCAAUGGAUAGUUUCUUCUAGUGCCAAGCUUCCUUUGAAGUUCUUUAUUUUUUUUUUGCGUGUCCAAAUGUAAAUUAAAAGAACCAACAACUUUGAACAAGUCUAUAUCUAGUAAAGAUAGAUAUAAAGAGGGAUACGUAUACACAGAUUAUAUAAUUUUUUUUCAAAUGUAUGAUUAAAAGUUUAGUAGUACAAAAAUACGAGUUUAUCAUUAUUAUGGAUAUCAUAUAAAUUCAUAUAUGAAUAGUAUGAAUAAAUAUAAAUGUUAUAGAAUUAGGUAUACAAGUGAAAUUACUAUAAUUUUGAAUGAUUAUGCUAGUUUUAUAUCAAAUUUAAUGCUGAUCCUUGUAUAUAUGACAUCAGAUUUAUUAAAGUUUUAUCACUUUUUUACAUUUAUAUUUAUAAUCCAUCUAAAGUUUGUUAUUUGACAAUACCAUUUGAUAUAUACCUCAAAAGGUACGUCAUUAUCUUGUCUCACUUUUUAAAAUUUAAAGUAUAAAUCAUAAAGUAUAAUGCAUCCAAAAACAAGUAUAAUGCAUCAAGAAUUUAUUAUAUAUUUUUAUAGGUUAGGCGAAAAGUAUAAAUAUUCUUGAAAUACACGAACUAUAGAACCUCUUUUGUGCUAUACAUAUAAACGCGUAUUGUAGAAGUAUAAUAGAACUAUUUACUAGCUAGGCAAAUUCGUAUAAAUGAAGCAUUUCCACCAAAAAAAUCUUGAACAAAGAUAAAGGGUUCAGAUCACUGAAUGCCAUUCCAUUCAAACUCUUGAUAGCAUCCAAAAUAUCCAUUUGAAGGACUUCGGUUUCUUUCUCAGGAGGGAACGGAGUUGAGUUUGACUCCGUCGAUGCUGAAUUAUUUUACAUUGUAAUGACAUGUAUAUAAAUAUUAUUGAACAUUAUGAACGUCUUAUAUCAAUCACACUAAAUUCUAGUGUUCCCAAGUAGGGAUGAGCAAAUUCGGUUCUUACCGAAUUCAUAACCGAUUUCAAAUUCAAUUCGGUAAUUUGAAAUCGGGUAUUUGGUAAUUUGGUACAAAUUCUGUGAGAACUCGAAAAUUUUCUUAUUUUUAUAGAAUAUUACUGGAAUAUUUAAAUGAUUAUUCACUAAUUUUCUUCGAAUUAUUUAUUUCGACCAUUUUAAUUCCAUUUAUAUGGAAUGACGCCUCUUUAUAUUUUUAAAGCGUUUUGUUGAAAAAUUCGCUUUUCGAAAAUUUGUUUAGUCCGGAACGACGGGUGCACGUUUUUCUAGGCCAUACUUGAAUCGGGAGUGUAUUAUUUAUUGGAGAAUUAAGAACGAUCAAUAAUAGAUUAAGAAAGGUUAAAGGAGGAAUUAAUACUCAAUUCACGUGAGGACUCGUAAAAUUAUUAUUUUAAAAUCCCUAAUUUUGGCUAAAUUAAUUACUUAUUUAGAUUUUUGCCACGAAUAAUAUUUUCUAGCCUUUUUAGACCUAAGUACAUGGUUUUAUAGUUUCGUUAUAUUUUUAAAGUGUCUCAUUUCAAAAAUUAUUUUCUUAUAAGCUUGUUUAGUGAAAAGGUGAAAACGUGUCCAAACACUUUAGCCAAUUGGGAAUAAAAUAAGUUCAAAAAUUUGAGACAUAUACAAUGGUUCUAAAAUAGACAAUUUUAGAUUUAAGCACACAAGUGAUAGCUAGUGGUACGAUUGUUAUAAGAAUUUCUCGAAAGUUUCAUUUUAUUGCGCCUAAAUUGGAAAUACGUGUUUUCACGUGCGCGCUUAAUUGAGGGACUUUGGACAAUUAUUUUGGGACAAUUAAGAAUGAAUAAUAUUUAUAUGAAUGUAAGUGCCCUAGAGGUUUAGUGCACUAGUGUAACAAACUUAAGGAAAAUUGAACACAAAACGCGCGAGUAGGGCACUAGUUGCAAUUAAAUUUUUCAUACUUAAAAUAUUAGACGGUCGGCGUUCUUUGUAUGCAAAAAGGAAUCAGACUAACAUUCAUAUCUGCAAGCUUUAUGGACGGCUAGCAACUGCAGCAAAGAGCAACCGAAAACUUCCACCAUUUCCUCUACAAACUCCACCAAAUUCAACCAAAACUUCACACACACUUAGCUCUUCACUUGGACAAUCACUUGGACAAAGAACGAGCUGCACAUUCACGGUUUUUCUUGGGGCUUUUGGACACCAAAAUCUGAUCUUUUAGCACACAAGUAAGGUAACCAUGAUCCACUCUUCAAAUCUUGUUCGUUGAAGGCCAACUCACACUUAAGAGCUUGAUUAUGCUUAUGGGUAGCUUAUUAUUGUUAGAAAUUGUUAAAUGUGGGCUCUAUGAACUCCCACUUUGAGUUGAUGGCUGUGAUGAUUUUGAUGAUGGUUUUAUUGUUGAAUUAGUGCUUAAGGGAGUAGAUUAAAGGUGCAUUAUCGCCAGAAACUUCAUUGAGCUCUUGAAGCAAAAAGUUCCCCUGCUCCGUUCGGUGGCAGAAAUUUGAGAAUUUAAUGGCUUGAUUGUGUUGUUUAUAUGUUGUAAAUUUUCAUUGAAAAAUACUGAGUUUUGGUUGGUCAAACGAAUUUAUUCCCAAAGCUAGUAAUCUGGAAAACGGUUUCAUCGUAAUCCAGACCAGUGUUCGUAUUUCGUCCAUAACUCCGUACUCCGACGUCAAAAUCAAGUUCCGUUAGCGGCAUUUGAAACUAGACGUUCCCAUCUUUCCAACGGUAUAUAAUGCACAUUCUGGUUCCAUGUGUGUGAACCGCACCACUCAUCUGAAUUCAGCUGCCCUGUUUCGCCGUUCUGCCGAAAUGAUUUGAUGAUGCUGCAACUUUAGGCUUAAUUUCGAGCUAGUUGCAUGCUGAAACAUAAAAUGAUUUCUUCUGUGAAAUUAUAGUCCUAUGCAUGUAUUUUCUAACACUAUCAACCAUGCUCAAAUCCGAGUUAAAUUGAGUGAGUUAUGAUCAAAAUACGGUGACUGUUUUGUUCUUGAAAGCCUUGGAUUUGGACAGAUUUGACGUGACAUUUGUGGUGGUCUUACUAAAUGAAUUUCUUGAUACUAAACACCUACCACAUGUACCAUGAAUGUUUCUUAAACUUUCCUUUCGCAUAUGAACCAUGAUUGGAGGAUUUUCUUAGCCAAACGAUUGGAUUUGGGAAGAAAAGGAUUAAGGACAGAUUGUCUUGAGAAUUUUUUCAAACUUUGGUUGAUUGGUUAACCACCUUCCCGAAGGUAUUUUUCCACGAAAUUUUGUAGAGAGAUACCCUUCAUAUAGUAGUACCAUACUACAAAAUUUGGGGUCAAUUCAAGUCCGUUUCGACACUUAACAAAAGUUCCAUAGUCGGAACCAAAUCUGGAAAUUUUGUAACAGUCUUGAAUUUUUCCCAACUUUGAGCUACCAUAUCUUGGUGUUCGAAACUCCGAUUCUCGAUCCGUUUAUUCUACCCUAAACCUUAGUUGCACCUCUAAUUGAGCUAUAAAUUUUAAGGGCUGGUUUGCAACGAGUGAAUUCUGCCGAAUUUCCAAAGUUAGCGAAAAGCCAACCCCGGGUCAAUCCUGGGUGAUCUGGGAUAGCAACUUUAAACUCAUUUUUGAAUACCUUUCAUUUCGAUUCGUGGAACAGUGUCUUCUAAGAACUUUUAGUAAUUUCCAAGAGGUUUCCAACGGUAUAAAGUUUUCCAAUUUUAGACUUGUAUCGAGUGAGAUACGAUUUUUCAAAGAUCCAUAUCAAAACUAAAAUUUUCCAACUUUCAAGGAAAUAGAGAUUUCCAAGAACUUUUUAUUCUUUUGACAUUAUGCAAACAUUUUAACCUCAAUUUCCAAGAUAAAAACCCAAAUGCUCCUGUGCUUUAAGAAACUCUAAUUGAACCUCGAUUUACGAGUAAUUGAGGUUCGAUUUCGUGAAAUUUCCUUAGAUUGUACUAGUGUACAAUCUUCCUUGAUAAUUGGGAUAUAUGAAUGAUAAUACGUUAUUAUUUGCCCAGGCGCACACGAGGACCUUCAAGAGGAUCCUACCGUGCACACUUGAACUUCCAGAAAAUAUUUCUUCUUGAUUUGCUCGGUGAGUGUCAAGUGUAUGACUACUUGAACACUAUGGACUUGAUUCAUGCUUGGCUUACCUGAUUACAUGCUUAGCCUACUUGGUUUUGAAAAAUGGAGUCGAGUGUUUAUUUUAUCGCACUCGUUCUCAUUUGAAACAAAUGACUCAUGCUUAACAUGGUUUGCCUGAUUUACAUGACCUGAAAUACAUGUUUAGACCUGUCAAAUGCUUGAAUACAUGAUAUGGUAUGCUAUGGCUACAUACGUCGUUGGAGUGAAUCUUCUCGACACUUACAUGACACAUGGGGGACGCCCAAACUCAUAGGCCGACCUUGGAACUCGAGCCGACAUGGGAUUGGUCGGGAACCUCAGUGAGCCAUGAGAUUCACAUGGUAAGCUUGAUCUAUUGGAGAGAUCUUGCUUGGCAUACUCGUGGAGUAUCGCCUCAUAAAUAUCGUGCAGGCCCGAAGCGGUGUAUGGUGGACGGAUGAGAAGUAAGUGGUGAUCUACGGUUUGAAAAUAUCAACCCGGUUGACGGAGAGUCAUCACGGGAAGAUAUACGAAUGAACUGGCAAAGCAAGUGGAACUUACCUCUUGAGAGCUACCAUAUCCUUGAAUCGUUUCUGUUUACAUUUUGUUGGCAUUGUUAAUUACUUGCAAGUUAUCACUUGAACUGUUACUUGGGUUUGUUACCUGAACUAUGUGUCUGCAUGUGUGUUCUUGGCCUCACGAGCGUUUUGCUCACCCUAUAGAUUUGUUUUCCUUAACAGAUUUGAACUCGGAGGCGUACUGGAAAAAAACCUCCUGAUGAGCUUUUGUUUAGGAUUUCUAUUAAUUUUGGCUAUGUCUUGGCUUUUGGGUUGUAUUUUGGAAUCCGAAUGUAACUUUUGGAGCAUAAUGUAUAUUUGGGAUAUAUGAUGGUUGUUGAAUACCCGAUGUGCGGGUUGGAUAACGGAUGACUUUUAUUAAACUUGAACGCUUCCGCAUUUAUUGUAUCUAAGUUAUUGACUCGUAUUGUAUGGUCCAGUAAUAAGCUUGAAUGGAAUUGCUUGAGUCCUGGCGAGAAUUAGGCAGGCGUUCCGCGGAUACCCUUUAGUUCGCCUUAGGGAGAAGUGGAGGCGUCACAGUUGGUAUCAGAGCAUAGGCUUUAGAUCUUGUAGUGUAUCCUAGGUUUAAAGUUUAGGAUGCCUGACUGUGGGAUUAAUUUGAAUAUUAUGUGAACUAGAGGGUCUAUUGUAUCCUACGGGUUAAAAAAAUUGGUUACUUGAGAGUUUCUUACUUGGGACUUGUAGAAAUAAAAAUUGAGGAAUUAGCUGUGUUAUAUUGAAGGAAAAUAUGGGAUGAGAGAUUAGUAGUGAAAGAUUGGACGAAUUUGAAUUAUUAUUAUUCUUGUAAGUGUGGAAAGAAGUGAGACAAUUAUUAGUGCUGGCUAAAGCGGAUAAGAGACCGAGAUUUGAUGGUCAAACUCCAUGUAUCGUGAUUGUGAAUCCAGAUGAAAGAGUUUCAAAGGAAUAAAAUGCAUUUUCCUGCUCAUUUACCUCUUAGAGAAUUUAUGCUUUGAAAUUCUAAAGAAAAAAUGAGGAUGUACUAGUUUUAUUUUCAAACGAUGAUUGGAAAUAAUAUAUAUAUGCUUUAAGUAUGUGUAAUUCUUCGAUUUUGGUAAAUAUGUGAAUUUUACUUGAAUUUCAAUUUAAAAAUUUGUGAAUAACUGAUGAGUUUGUUGAAAUUUUGUAUGUGAUGGGCUGAUACAAGGUUAAAAUUUUCUAAACUAGAUUUUCCCCCUUGAUUGUAUACUGGUGUAUUCUCACACUUGAAUUCAUCUAUGCUUUACAAAAAAAAAAAAAAAUAAUAAUAAUUAAAAUAUCUUGAAUUUUCGGAAGAACGGCGAACUUAUGUUUUUAUAAUGAAAAUCUUGAACUUGAUAAGAUUUUUGUUACUUUAAAUAAUCUUCUUAUCUUUUAAAAUUCUUGGUUUUCAAGAAGGGUGAGCCUAUCUUUAGGUGUACGGAUUGAUGGAACUUUGAGAUAUAGAGUAACCGCAUUCAAGAACACGCAGUUAAUGUGAAUUGACUUGGUUUUCAUUUGACACGUAAGUUAGCAAGUUGUACUUAUUUCUUGGGUUUGAACUUGGAGCUUGAAACUUUAACUAUAAAACCCUAAGACUAGUUAUUCUUGGAGAUGAUGGUGCUCUGGUUGGUGGCUUGCUUAUUAAAGAUUUUGAAUUUCGAAUGGAUAACCUUUGGUUUCCGCUUGUGUUAUGGUUUGAUUGGAUCUAAUUUCGUAAAGGCAUUUGAUCUGAUUGGAAUUAGUGAUAUUCGGACCCAUUGGUUUAAUUAAGGACUUAGGAAGGGUGGUGCACGCCGUGAGACCUUUUGUAUCCCGCUUGCAUAUACUUCUACAUUUUGUGACCCUUAAUUGCCUAUAUACAGUAUUUGACAUAUUGGGCUUGUUUUGUGACUUCUUAACUCGUACUAUAACCUUCGAUACAUGUAAAGAAUCAUGUCUUGAUUCUAAAUAUUUUUGCAACUUAUAUAUGCAUUAAGUUCUUUUAUGAUUAAUUAUUUCUUUUCUUGCGCUUAUAGACUCCUAUUAAGUAUGGUAGCAGGAAUAGGAAAAAGGGGUCGUGGCCGAGGACUUAGACAACCCUGUACUCGUGAGAAAAAUUGAUGGAUAGUCUUAUAUAAUUUAAUGAGUUUCUAGUACUGAAUAUGAAUCGAGAAAAAAAUCAGAAGAUUAGAUCUACCAGUGUAUAAUGGAUUAACCUAGUUGGGAACUUAGUGAGAUUUUCCUGUGUGAAAUUUUAAUAACUGUUUUAUACGUAUAUUAUGAUUGGUCCUGUGGCCAUAUUUCAACUUUUGUGAAAGUUUGAACUCCAAAAGUAUUUCGUGGGUUUGGUGAGAUGACCUGAACUCAUUACCAAUUUGUUCUAUUUGAACAAAAGCGCUUUCAAUUUUACUUGACUAAUACUAUAUCCAGAUUCACUUGUUUUACUUUUCACAAAAUUUAUAUAUAUAUAUAUAUAUAUAUGUAUGUAUGUAUACACAUUUUGAACUCGUUUGAGACUCGAAAUCAGAUAGAGUUCAAGUUCGAAUCUUUCUUAGGAACAUGAAUGCCUAUUUGUUAUGAAUCAGAUAUUAGAAAUGACCGGGUUUUAUGUACUUGUAGAGUUAACUCUUGGUUGGAUAAAAGGGUGGUAAAGGUAUUGGAUCACAGGUUAUGCGAAUAUGAACAUACAUGUUUACCUAUCUUUCUUAAAGGUAUUUUCUAAAAUAUACGCCUUACUCGAACAUAGAUUUAACUCGAAACUUUGAGGAAAAGUGUUGGAACACCCUCCAUGUAUAUGUUAUGAUUAUUAUGUAUAUGUUUUAAAAAUCAUGCAUUAAGUUGCAUGAUUAAUAUUCUUAAAUCUAUUUGAGAGAUUUUAAAUAUGUAUUGAUGAUUGUGGUUAAACAUUAUUUGAAAUCUCUUACUAAGAAAACUUAGUUUUGGGUCGUGAAGAAAAUUUGUAUCUUUAACUCUAAUUUUGAAAAUUUUGAAUCGCAUUUUGCCACAGAUACAUUCAAAAUACAUCAAAAGUCUUGACCUUAUCUUGUAAGUCAUGAUUGGUUUGAUUUAGACAAAAUUUUGAGGAAAGGGAUUUUGGUCCUGCUAGUGCGUAACAGUUUUUUUUUGUUAGGAUUUGGAACUUGUUUCAUAUGACGUGUAAUUUAUGGUUUCACUACACACGGGAGUAAGACCUUAGAAUGGAAGUACAUAUCAUUAUAUCAAGAGGUAUUACUUUAGUCGUGUGUGUGGAUUUUCUUAAGUAUCAUUCGAGGAGAGGGAAGAGUAAAUAUACCUGGAUGACUUAGAUGUGUGAGAAUUUACAGGUUGUGGAUAGUUGAGUUUCAAAUUCUGAUUUGCUACUUAUUUAGAUGCUUGAGCUGUUGAUAGGCUAACAGUCAGGAUUAAGAAAAUGGAUGAAUGAAAAGUUUGGAAGAGAUGCGUAUAGAAAUAGAAAUUCUUCACAAGGGGUUGGAAUUCCAAACUAAAUUGGCUGAAUUUUGGGAAGAAAAAAAAAGUCGAGAACUUAGGGUUGAAGAUGGGAUCCAAUGUUUAAUCACCAAUUUGAGAUAUUAAAAGUUGUGAGAUUUGGGUGAGUGAAAGGAAAUAUUUGAUGGCUUGAAUGAGCCUAACGAUUAGGGACCGGAUGUUAUAUUUGGAAUGGACGUUUGACGCUAUAUAUACAUAGAUUAUUGAGAGUUGAACGAUGAGACUAUUAAGAACAAAUGCUCCAUAGUCUCACAUAAACAAGAAUUAUAAUCAAGGGUCAGAAGCAGCGAAUAAGGGAUUUAAAGUAGAGUUACUACCAACCGGGAAUCCUAGAAACUGAUGUGCUUAAAACCACUUCCAAUUCAAGAUGGGGAUGCUUGAAUUUUCAGUUAUGCCAAUUGGGUUGACUAAUGUAUUAGCAGCAAUUAUUGCAUUAAUGCAUCAAGGUUUUAAAUCGUAAUAGGAUUAAUCUGUGAUGGCAUUUAUUGAUGAUGUAUUGAUAUACCCUAAAGUUUGAGAAGAUCAUGAAAAAAAAAAUACCUGAUGAUAGUUUUACAAACCCCGAGAGAACGCUAACUUUUGUUAAGUUCAAUCAAUGUGAGUUCGAUGGGAAGAAAUAGCCUUUCUAAGUUAUAUAAUAUAUAAGGAAGAAAUUGUUGUUAACUCAUCUUAAGUGGAAGCUGUUUAAGAGGAAAUGACUAGAAAAUCCUACCGAAAUUUGGAGUUCUUAGAGGUAGUCGAAUAUUACCUUGGUUUGAUCAGGGACUUCUAAGGAUACGAGACUUGGCAAGUUAUUUGAGAUUUUAAAUGUGAGGAAGAAUUUGAAGGUGAAAAUCGUUUAACCAGUGCACUUGUGUUGGCUUUACCGAGCGGAUAAGGUGAUUUUGUGAUUUAUACAGAUGGUUCAAAGGAUGGUUUAGAAUGUAUAUUAAUAAUAUAUGAUGAGGUGAUUGUAUAUGCCUUCUGAAAGUUAAAAUCUUCCGGAAGAAAGUAAUCAACUCAUGAUUUGGAGUGAGUUGGAAAACGUAAGUCAAUGAUUGAUCUGAUAGGCUUAACCAUGAAGGGAAUGAUAUUGUUCUAAGUAUGAAUUUCGAGGACGAAAUUCCUUUCAAGGAGGGGAGGAUGUGAGAACCCGAAAAUUUUCUUAUUUUUAUAGAAUAUUACUGGAAUAUUUAAAUGAUUAUUCACUCAUUUUCUUCGAAUUAUUUAUUUCGACCAUUUUAAAUCCAUUUAUAUGGAAUGACGCCUCUUUAUAUUUUUAAAGCGUUUUGUUGAAAAAUUCGCUUUUCGAAAAUUUGUUUAGUCCGGAACGACGGGUGCACGUUUUUCUAGGCCAUACUUGAAUCGGGAGUGUAUUAUUUAUUGGAGAAUUAAGAACGAUCAAUAAUAGAUUAAGAAAGGUUAAUGGAGGAAUUAAUACUCAAUUCACGUGAGGACUCGUAAAAUUAUUAUUUUAAAAUCCCUAAUUUUGGCUAAAUUAAUUAUUUAUUUAGAUUUUUGCCACGAAUAAUAUUUUCUAGCCUUAUUAGACCUAAGUACAUGGUUUUAUAGUUUCGUUAUAUUUUUAAAGUGUCUCGUUUCAAAAAUUAUUUUCUUAUAAGCUUGUUUAGUGAAAAGGUGAAAACGUGUCCAAACACUUUAGCCAAUUGGGAAUAAAAUAAGUUCAAAAAUUUGAGACAUAUACAAUGGUCCUAAAAUAGACAAUUUUAGGUUUAAGCACACAAGUGAUAGCUAGUGGUACGAUCGUUAUAAGAAUUUCUCGAAGGUUUCAUUUUAUUGCGCCUAAAUUGGAAAUACGUGUUUUCACGUGCGCGCUUAAUUGAGGGACUUUGGACAAUUAUUUUGGAACAAUUAAGAAUGAAUAAUAUUUAUAUGAAUGUAAGUGCCCUAGAGGUUUAGUGCACUAGUGCAACAAACUUAAGGGAAAUUGAACACAAAACGCGCGAGUAGGGCACUAGUUGCAAUUAAAUUUUUCGUACUUAAAAUAUUAGACGGUCGGCGUUCUUUGUACGCAAAAAGAAAUCAGACUAACAUUCAUAUCUGCAAGCUUCAUGGACGGCUAGCAACUGCAGCAAAGAGCAACCGAAAACUUCCACCAUUUCCUCUACAAACUCCACCAAAUUCAACCAAAACUUCACACACACUUAGCUCUUCACUUGGACAAUCACUUGGACAAAGAAGGAGCUGCACAUUCACGGUUUUUCUUGGGGCUUUUGGACACCAAAAUCUGACCUUUUAGCACACAAGUAAGGUAACCAUGAUCCACUCUUCAAAUCUUGUUCAUUGAAGGCCAACUCACACUUAAGAGCUUGAUUAUGCUUAUGGGUAGCUUAUUAUUGUUAGAAAUUGUUAAAUGUGGGCUCUAUGAACUCCCACUUUGAGUUGAUGGCUGUGAUGAUGUUUGAUGAUGGUUUUAUUGUUGAAUUAGUGCUUAAGGGAGUAGAUUAAAGGUGCAUUAUCGCCAGAAACUUCAUUGAGCUCUUGAAGCAAAAAGUUCCCAUUUUACCCCUGCUCUGUUCGGUCACUUUAAUGCAGAAAUUUGAGGAUUUAAUGGCUUGAUUGUGUUGUUUAUAUGUUGUAGUAGUUGUGUAAAAAUUUUCAUUGAAAAAUACUGAGUUUUGGUUGGUCAAACGAAUUUAUUCCCAAAGCUAGUAAUCUGGAAAACGGUUUCGUCGUAUUCCAGACCAGUGUUCGUAUUUCGUCCAUAACUCCGUACUCCGACGUCGAAAUCAAGUGCCGUUAGCGGCAUUUGAAACUAGACGUUCCCAUCUUUCUAACGAUAUAUAAUGCACGUUCUGGUUUCAUGUGUGUGAACCGUACCACUUAUUUGAAUUCAGCUGCCCUGUUUCGCCAUUCUGCCGAAAUGAUUUGAUGAUGCUGCAACUUUAGGCUUAAUUUCGAGCUAGUUGCAUGCUGAAACAUAAAAUGAUUUCUUCUGUGAAAUUAUAGUCCUAUGCAUGUAUUUUCUAACACUAUCAACCAUGCUCAAAUCCGAGUUAAAUUGAGUGAGUUAUGAUCAAAAUACGGUGACUGUUUUGUUCUUGAAAGCCUUGGAUUUGGACAGAUUUGACGUAACAUUUGUGGUGGUCUUACUAAAUGAAUUUCUUGAUACUAAACACCUACCAAAUGUACCAUGAAUGUUUCUUAAACUUUCCUUUCGCAAAUGAACCAUGAUUGGAGGAUUUUCUUAGCCAAACGAUUGGAUUUGGGAAGAAAAGGAUUAAGGGCAGAUUGCCUUGAGAAUUUUUUCAAACUUUGAUUGAUUGGUUAACCACCUUCCCGAAGGUAUUUUUCCACGAAAUUUGAGAGAGAGAUACCCUUCAUAUAGGAGUACCAUACUACAAAAUUUGGUGUCAAUUCAAGUCCGUUUCGACACUUAACAAAAGGUCCAAAGUCGGAACCAAAUCUGAAAAUUUUGUAAUAGUCUUGAAUUUUUCCCAACUUUGAGCUACCAUAUCUUGGUGCUCGAAACUCCGAUUCUCGAUUCGUUUGUUCUGUCCUAAACCUUACUUGAACCUCUAAUUGAUCUAUAAAUUUCUACGGCUGAUUUGCAACGAGUGAAUUCUGCCGAAUUUCCAAAGUUAGCGAAAAACCAACCCCGGCUCAAUCCUGGGUGAUCUGGGACAUCAACUUUAAACUCAUUUUUGAAUACCUUCCAUUUAGAUUCGUGGAACAGUAUCUUCUAAGAACUUUUAGUAAUUUCCAAGAGGUUUCCAACGGUAUAAAUUUUUCCAAUUGUAGACUUGUAUCGAGUGAGAUACGAUUUUUCAAAGAUCCAUAUCAAAACUAAAAUUUUCCAACUUUCAAGGAAAUAGAGAUUUCCAAGAAUUUUUUAUUCUUUCGACAUUAUGCAAACAUUUUAACCUCGAUUUCCAAGAUAAAAAUCCAAAUGCUCCUGUACUUUAAGAAACUCUAAUUGAACCUCGAUUUACGAGUAAUUGAGGUUCGAUUUCGUGGAAUUUCCUUAGAUUGUACUAGUGUACAAUCUUCCUUGACAAUUGGGAUAUAUGAAUGAUAAUACGUUAUUAUUUGCCCAGGCGCACACGAGGACCUUCAAGAGGAUCCUACCGUGCACACUUGAACUUCCAGAAAAUAUUUUUUCUUGAUUUGCUCGGUGAGUGUCAAGUGUAUGACUACUUGAACUCUAUGGAUUUGAUUCAUGCUUGGCUUACCUGAUUACAUGCUUAGCCUACUUGGUUUUGAAAAAUGGAGUCGAGUGUGUACUUUAUCGCACUCGUUCUCAUUUGAAACAAAUGACUCAUGCUUAACAUGGUUUGCCUGACAUGACCUGAAAUACAUGCUUAGACCUGUCAAAUGCUAUGAUAUGCUAUGGCAUACGUCGUUGGAGUGAAUCUCCUCGACACUUACAUGACACAUGGGGGACGUCCAAACUCAUAGGCCGACCUUGGAACUCGAGCCGGCAUGGGCUUGGUCGGGAACCUCGGUGAGCCAUGAGAUUCACAUGGUAAGCUUGAUCUAUUGGAGAGAUCUUGCUUGGCAUACUCGUGGAGUAUCGCCUCAUAAAUGUCGUGCGGGCCCGAAGCGGUGUAUGGUGGAUGGAUGAGAAGUAAGUGGUGAUCUACGGUUUGGAAAUAUCAAUCCGGUUGACGGAGAGUCAUCACGGGAAGAUAUACGAAUGAACUGGCAAAGCAAGUGGAACUUAGCUCUUGAGAGCUACCAUAUCCUUGAAUCGUUUCUGUUUACAUUUUUUUGGCAUUGUUAAUUACUUGCAAGUUAUCACUUGAACUGUUACUUGGGCUUGUUACCUGAACUAUGUGCCUGCAUGUGUGUUCUUGGCCUCACAAGCAUUUUGCUCACCCUAUAGAUUUGUUUUCCUUAACAGAUUUGAACUCGGAGGCGUACUGGAAAAAAACCUCCUGAUGAGCUUUUGUUUAGGGUUUCUAUUACUUUUGGCUAUGUCUUGGCUUUUGGGUUGUAUUUUGGAAUCCGAAUGUAACUUUUGGAGCAUAUGUAUAUUUGGGAUAUAUGAUGGUUGUUGAAUACCCGAUGUGCGGAUUGGAUAACGGAUGACUUUUAUUAAAUUUGAACGCUUCCGCAUUUAUUAUAUCUAAGUUAUUGACUCGUAUUGUGUGGUCCGGUAAUAAGCUUGAAUGGAAUUGUUUGAGUCCUGGCGAGAGUUAGGCAGGCAUUCUGCGGAUACCCUUUGGUUCGCCUUAGGGAGAAGUGGGGGUGUCACAAAUUCGGUACAUGCCGAAUUCACCGAAUUCUAAUAUGGUAUGAAAUAGGUAAUAAGAUUGUGAAUUUGGUAAUAACCGAUUUCGCAUUCAAAUUCGGUAAUUGAAAUCGGGUGCCGCAUUACCACAUUCGAAUUACCAAAUUGAUAUAUAAAAUUAUAUAAUAUAUAGAUAAAUGCUAUUUAGUAUUAGUAUAUACUACUAAUACUUUAUUAUAUUAUAUAGGUAAAUGCUAUUAAUAAUAAUUAGUAUAUGGUAUUAUCAUCAUAUCAUGUACUUAUAAUAAUAAUAAUAUAUAAUAAUGUACAAUAUAUUCUUUUAGUAUUUAUUAAUUGUUAUAUGACUAUAAUAAUAUAAAUAUAUAGUAAUACAUAACAAUAUAAGAUAACUAUAAUACUUAUUAUUUUAUACAUGAGUAACAUGACUAGAAUUAGAUAAUAAUUAAUACAUAUAUGUAUAAUACUAAAUAUUAAACAAUAAACAUAAUUAAUAAUUAGAAUUUAGAUAUUGGUAAUUUGAUAUAUCAUUCAUGUUUGAAUUAUUGAAUAUUUGAAUGCGUAAUCUGUAACUUGCAAGUAUUAGUGUACUCUACAUAUUUAACAUAAAAAUUCAUAUUAUCUAUUCACUAAUCUUAAUUCUUAAGGCUUUAGCCUUUAAGUAUAGAUAAGACAACUAAGCAGUUAGCAGUGUAAGUGAAUGCAUAUGAAUUGCAAAUCAAUGUAUUAGUGUAUUGACUUUCACGAAUAACAUAUGUAAGUAAAUAAGUUUUAUUUUGAUUUGAAAUAAAUUAUAAGUUUGUAACUAAUAUAACUUACCACUAAUCAUUGUAAUUUGUAAGUUUGUAACUAAUAUUACUUAUUAUUAAUCAUUGUAAAUUAUGAAUUCAUAAAUUAUCACUAAUCAUUGUGUUCCUUAAAUCAUAGACUAAGGAUUCUAGGUAAAAGUUAUCAAAUAAGUUAUAAUUCAUAUUAUCUAUUUACUAAUUUAAGGUUUUAAGUAUAGACAAGACAACUGAGCAGUGUAAGUGAAUGCAUGUAAAUUGCAAAUCAAUGUAUUAGUGUAUUGACUUUCACAAUAACAUGUGUAAGUAAAUAAGUUUUUAUUUUGAUUUGAAAUAAAUUAUAAGUUUGUAACUAAUAUAACUUAUCACUAAUCAUUGUAAUUUGUAAGUUUGUAACUAAUAUUAUUUAUUAUUAAUCACUGUAAAUUAUAAAUUCAUUGUAACUACUAACUAAUAUUACUUAUUAUUAAUCAUUGUAAAUUAUAAAUUCAUAAAUUAUCACCAAUCAUUGUAUAGUCUAAGGUUUAUUCUAGUUUAAAUUAAUAGAUAAAUUAUUACUUUUUUUUAAUAGAUGAAUUUGGUUAAACCGAAUUCAUUACCGUUUUCGAAUUUGAAAUCGGUUGCGGUAUGAAUUUGGUUAUGGCUAAUUCAGAAUUGAAAACGGUUUAGAUUUCUAUAUGUAGAAUAACCGAAUUCACCGAAUUCAGUGCACCGAAUUACCGAUUUUGCACCGAAUGCACACCCCUAUUCCCAAGUUACAGAAGUUUAUGAUGUGUAUUAGGGGUUUCCUCAGCAAUUCGACAGCAUCUGGUGCAUCGUCCAUGGAACCAACGACAGCAACCAAAUCUGCAACAAUCCACGGUUACGGUGUCCUCAUCUCCAAAUUUAUUCUCACGGAUCUCCUCAGCUGUUUGACAGCAUCUCGUGCAAUAGAUGAGGUACCAGCGGCAGCACGAAAUCUGCAACCAGUUAAGUGAUCAAUCUCACCUGAACUGGCAUCCAGCGGUCUUCAUGUUGUCGUGAUCUGUUUCAAGACAUAAAUAUUAGGAGCAUCGUCUUAAACUCCAAAACGUUAGGUGACUGGCUAGGUUGAAAAUUUGCAAGAUAUAUGCAAAGAAAUGAAUACUAUGGAUUAAACAAAACUGUCUAGGCAUAUGAGAUGGUGCAACUUGGAUAUGAAUUAUUUCGUCUUAUAAGCUACUAAUUAAAUAUUUAAUUUGGGUUUUGACGUUAGUUUAAUCUUUGUCCUGUUAAACAAUAGUGUGACAUUUUGGAACGUUUAUCCUUACAGUAAUACUAUAAGGAUGUGAAAAAGAUAUUAGCACUUUAAUAUAACUUCCUUGAUACUAUACAAAUAGCCUAUCAUAAAAAUUCACGUCCCAAUAAUGUGUCUCCUAAGCUCCAUUCAUUUAAGUAUUCAGGUUCAUCCAAAUAAAUAAAUAAAGGAAGGAGGAAAAAGAUUAGGUGCAUUCAGUUGUUGCAUCAGAGGAAAUGAGGAGUACAAGUGCAAAGAGAGCACCACUAAAUUUGUUGAUAUCUAGUGACAAUUGCAUUGAGCUAAACAAUAUUUGUUGAUAUCUAAAUGACCUCAUUUUUUAUGUUGAUGGGACCUAAUGUCAAUAUCGUCAAGGAAAAAUUGACUGUAAUACCCUCAUUUAGAAGCAAAAUAUCAUAUUCCAAUUUUACCAACAUGCCAUCAAAACUCGUCACCAAAAUUUAACAACUUUACUAAAACUAAUUUUCAAAGGCUGGUGAGCUUUGGAGAAGAUCUGAACAUUAAGCUCCAAAAUAUUUCAUUGGGUGAAGGAAAAUUGUUGAAAAAAGUGGCUUAUUAGCUUUAUUCUUUGAUAUUUAUAUAUAAUAAUUAAAAGAUGAAAACUUUUUUAAUUGAAUGUGGAUAUUCACAACAAAAUGAGGUACCGAAUGGAAGUUUAUGGUCUUCAUGAUUGAUGUGGUUCCAUGAAUAAACUCGUAGAGCUGAUAAGAUGAACAUUCUGGCCUUAAGAUGAGUUUAAAAUGUAGCCAUGGUAGACAUGAUGAGUCAUUUAAGGACCACAUCAUGCAUAUCUUGAUAUUAUAUGAGCAAUUUGCGAUGGAUAAAGCCAUGCAUAUGCAUGCAUGUGCUUUAUAUAAUGUGAAAAUGGAUGAGUUAGAUAAAGCUUGGUGAAGUAAAGUUAGUAUACCGAAUCGAUUUUGACGUGUGAGUAGGAUUUUCUGCUUGGUUGCUCUAUUUUAAGUGAUUAUCACUUUGUUGACAAAGAUCUUGUCGGACAAUCUCCCAAAAUAAGUUUCUAUCGUUUUUCUUUACUGAAUCACGAACAUUUCUUUAGUGAAAUUUUAAUCUUAAAUUAGGUUGGACUAAUUAUUUGGAGGGAACAUUUUAGAUGGCAAGUGACUCAUUCACUCCUCAUUUUUGCAUAUAUAGUUGAAAGAAAAACAUAAGUUUAAGCAACUAAUGACUUUGUAAAUAAAGAUUGUAUAAGAUCACUUCCAAAAGUAAGUUUCUAUACCAUAUCUUUGUUGAGUCUUAUCAAGAAAAUUUUGGAGGGAAAAUUAAUCUUCAAUUAGCUUGGACUACAUUAAGCUACUACUUGGUUGAUUGUCAAUUUUAUCAUUUUUAUUGUUAUUAAAAAAUCCAUAAUGUGAACACAAAAGUAAACGAGGAUAUCACAAAAAUUGAUUAUCUAUAAUCAAAAUCUCUAAAUAGUUAAAAUAGUCAAUAAAAAACAAGCAUGUUGUAGUAUAAAAUUUUUUAGGUAGACUACUUUGUCUGUACCUUUAUAUGUUGACUACUAAUUGAAAGCUACCAUGAAUUUUGGAUAAAUAGGACGGACCUGAUUCUACUCAUGGCAUUAUUGUGUAUUAAAAACUUAUUUUUUUCCUUUUAGCUGCUGUGCUUCAUGCCAUUUGGAAUAGUUCACUCCUCAUUUUAUAUGUUUUUUCUUUUUUUCUUUUUUGGAAAUAGCCCUUUUUACAACAUAAAUAUGUUACAAUAUUUCUUUUAGGGCCUAUAAAGGUAAAUAUGGAACAAAGUGUGCUGACAUCAUUUCUUGUCAAUCUAUUGCAUUUCUUUUGUGGACACGGGCUAACUUGGUUACAAAACUAGUUAUAAGUAAGAGUGAUCAGCGUAAUAUCGAAAACAAGAGGGGCACUAGGUGAAAUUGUCCAAACAUUCAGGGGAAGUUUGUGAAAUUAUCCCAAUAGUUUGAGUACCUGCCCUGUUACUUGCAUUAGAGUGGCCCUUUAUUAUUGACUAAUGCAGACGUCCAUGUCUGCACUCUCAGGACGGAGGAAUAAAGUAUUUGUUGUCCUUGUGCGAGUUAUACAUAGUCUUUCUUGACUGCAAAAGUUGAUAAUUGAGCUAAAGAAUCGAAAGAUAAUGUGGCCAUUUUUCAAUCUCUGAUAGGAAGGAUAUCAAUCUCCUACUUUUCCGUCUUCAUGUCUGGAUUGUAUAUCAAUUUCUUUUUCUUUUUCGUUUGUUGGUUAGGUAAACUUUCAUUUUCAUCAGUCUAAAGGCCUAAAGGUCCCUGCCCAUUUCAGAAAUUUACUGAUUUUAAGUGGGCGUAAUAGAGCUUUAAUUAACUCUAUCAAGAUCUUUAUACAUUACGAGCAACUUUCCUGUUAAAAUACUAAUUCAAACAAGCUGUGCAAAUUCAAGGAUGGAACUAGAUGUUGAAAAGGAAUAGUUUAUACUUCAUAAGAAGUACUGAAUUCGUGGAUUAAUUUUCUUGUGCUAUUGCUUUAGAGUUUUAUUUACAUGAGUAGAUUUGAAUGCGCGAUAAGUAAUUGUGAUUCAAACUUGAAGUCAUAUUUUUGCACAUGAAAGAAAUAGUCCAAAAUAUUUUUUUUCUUUUUAGAACUCUACAUGUAGCUUUAACUUGACCAGUCCUAUUACUAGUCGUUGACGAGCACGAGGUAUACAUACAAUAAUUAAGUUCAUUUUACAUUUAUAAAUUGCUAAAUGCUUCAUACACGAUUUUUUGCAAGCAUAUAGAUCGAGAUUGAGUAUAGGGUUUUAAAUGUCGGACUCAUAGGAAAGAUUGUCAAUUACCGAUGAUUUUCGAAUUAUUUUAUUAUUUAGACUAUCACAAGUACAAGAAAUUAAAUCUACGUACACUAUAAACAUGAGAUAAAAGUAAUAAAAAUAACAAUAGAAAGCUCCUAAAAGUAUGAAAUUUCUAACUACUCUUGCAAGUGAAGUUACUGGUUAAGUAAAUAUUAUUAUUUUAGCUAAUUAUGGCGUAAUUCCUAAUGUAUGUGAAACAUAUUCUCGUAGUAAAUCAACUAUACUUGUAAUUAAGCCAUACCUACACAUUCAAACAACCUGUGCAAAUUCGAGAAUGGAACUAGAUUUUGAAAAGUAAUAGUUUAUACUUCAUAAGAAGUACUGAAUUCUGGGAUUAAUUUUCUUGUGCUAUUGCUUUAAAGAUUUAUUUACAUGAGUAGAUUUGGAUGCGUGAUAAGUAAUUGUGAUUCAACCUUGAAGCCAAAAUUUUGCACAUGAAAGAAAUAGUCCAAAUUUUGUUUUCCUUUUAGAAUACUACAUGUAGCUUUAACUUGACUAGUCCUAUAUCUAGUCAUGGUUAAGAAGUUUCAGAAUAUUAGUAAGGUUAUGCAUGAUAAAUUCUGUAUUUAUCCAUUACUUUGUUAAGCCAAUCUCUAGAAAGGUUUGUACUUAUUAAUUCCUUUCGCCAUCUAAACUUAUUGAUAGAACGUAGUAAUUUGUGUCAACACCAGAAACCAGAAAACUCGACCACUAGCUUAUCGAACUGAAUUUAGGUCAUUAAUUUUUUAUGCCCGUCAACUUAAGAAAAACAACAUAUCAUGCAGAUUAAUAAGUGCAGUUCAGUCCAUAGGGUAAAAUAUAAUGCGAAUAGAAUUAAAUCUCUAAAUGUAUAUCCAAGAUAAAACGCGUAUGAUUGAAAUGAUUUGUACUAAAUUUGUUUGAAAUUGCAGUGCUAUAAGUCGAAAAUGUUAAGAGUGCAUGAAAAGCAUGGAAGACUAUGUACUAACUUGACAAAGUGACUUAUUUGAAUAAUAAUGAUAACAUUUUAUAAUUUUUGUGGGUCAAUUUUUGUUUUAAUCUCUUACAGUAACAAGCAUGCUUUGAUUUUUUUUUUUUUUUUUUUUUGGGCUUGUUUGGAUCAUGGCCAGUCCGUAAAUACAAUAAAACCCACCAACCUUUACUCAAAAAAAAAAAAAAAAAAGCACUUCCACCUCAAAAUUUACAAAAAAAAUGGAAGAAAGAAGAAACCCUACUCGUUCUCUUCCAGUGCUAUACGUUUAUCAGAAUAAAGGUCGAAACUUGCAAAAUAUCAUUCUUGAAAGCAUUCAUUAUUCAUCCUUUUUGUCUUACGUCAAAGUUAGACAUCUUGCAAUUCAUAAUUUUCAUGCUUGACAACUCUUUUGGAUAAGAUUGAUGUUCCUCUGAAUAUCAACAUUAAAAUUUUUUUUUUCGAGUAAGUUGUACCGUCGAUACUGAAGAACUUUGAUUCCUUUCUCAGGAAGGAAUAGGAUUGGGUUUAACUCUUGUCGAUACUGAAUUUUUUUUACAUUGUAAUGACAAGGAACGAUGAAGAGCACAACACACAUAUUGAAUAUUCUGCACAUCUUAUAUCAAACACAGUAAAUUCUAGCAGGUCCAAGGUACAGAAGUUUACGAUGUAACUGAGAUAGAGAUCAUCAAUUGUGUUGAUGAUCAAGUGGAUUUAUUUAUUCAACAUGACAACAACAUAAGAAGAGCACUCGAACUGAGUACUCAUUACAUGCUUCCCCUGUUUAUUCUACACCAGUUCAAAGAGAAGCCACAUAAGUCUUUUACACAUAGAGGAAAUCAACCAUCAAAAGCAAACACAACAUUACAUAUUAAGGUAAUAAUAUAGGUGUCACGGAUCCUGUGUCACACCCUUAUUUAUUUAGCAUUAAUUUUUGACCUCAUCUCCAGAUGUAGCUUCAGGGGUCUCCUCAGCGGUUGCGCAGCAUCUUUGGCAUUGUCCAUGGUACCAGCUGCAGCAACGAUAUCUGCAACGAUCUGCAGAUGUAGCUUCAGGGGUCUCCUCAGCGGUUGCGCAGCAUCUUUGGCAUUGUCCAUGGUACCAUCUGCAGCAACGAUAUCUGCAACGAUCUGCAGAUAUAGCUUCAGGGGUCUCCUCAGCGGAUGCACAGCAUCUUUGGCAUUGUCCAUGGUACCAGCUGCAGCAACGAUAUCUGCAACGAUCUGCAGAUAUAGCGUCAGGGGUCUCCUCCGCGGAUGCACAGCAUCUUUGGCAUUGUCCAUGGUACCAGCUGCAGCAACGAUAUCUGCAACGAUCUGCAUUUACGGCAGCCUUAUCUCCAGAUGUAGCUUCAGGGGUCUCCUCAGGAGAUGCACAGCAUCUUUGGCAUUGUCCAUGGUACCAGCUGCAGCAACGAUAUCUGCAACGAUCUUCACUUAUCUUAUCCUGAUGAGCCUCACCAGUGGUCUUCACGCUCGCCUGAUCUGUUUCGAUACACAAGGAGACAAAAAUAUUAGGAGCUUCAUCUUAAGCUGCAAAGAGUUGAGUGACCUGCUGGGCUGAAGAUUUGCAAGAUACAUGCAAAGAAAAGAAUAUUAUGGAUUAAACAAAAUAGUCUACUUAUAAAAGAUGGUGCGACUUGGAUAUGAAUUAUUUUGCCUUAUAGUCCACUCAAUAAAUUAGAAUUAGUAUUAAUUAAUUUGGUUUUCGACUUUACUUUAAUCUUUAUCGUGAUAAACAAUAGUGUGAUAUAAUGUAACGUGUGUGCCUGGAGUUAUACUAUAAGGAUGAAAAAUCAGCUGUUCCACUUACCGUUGAUACAAACAACCAAAAUUUACUUUUAUUAAACAAUGAAAUAGAUAUUAGGAAACUAAUAUAACUUCCUUGAUACGAUACAAAUAGCCUACCAUAAAAAUUCACGUCCCAAUAAUGAAUCUCCUAAUCACCAUUCACUUGAGUAUUUAGGUGUAGCAAAAGAAAAAAUCGUAAGAGAUAAGUAAAAAAAAGAAAGACUAGGUAC
rnacentral:lncRNA from 1 species